GAUUUUGUUGGGAGUACAACAUUGGCCCAACGUUAGGCCAACGUUGGUGAGUCACGACCUUAUUUCGAUACAAUGUUUUGUAUAGACAACGUUGAACCAGAAUUCAGGAAACAUGUGAACUGUUUGUUAUAAAAUCGGACAAGAAGAUGGAAAAGUGAAAGAAAAAGAAAUAGUAAAUUAUGUACAUUUAAUGUUACAUAUAUACCAACCAUGAAUACCGAAAAACAUGCAUGACGAUGUAUCAAGUUAUAUAGCUUUUAUAUUUUUUAGUUUACUGUGAAACUUUAAAAUUUGUGUAAAUGUUUAAACACUACUAGUUCUAUAAAGUAAAUGUUUUUGAGAAUAAUAUAACAUCAAUUUAAAUUAACCUGCAUAUUUAAAAAAAAAAUACAAGACGAACAAGACACACACUUUCUAAAGCGUUGCAUUUAGGGUGCAUAUUCUAAGAUAAGAGAACAUUUUCUGACCAAACAAUUAGGCCAGGGUUUUUCACAGCGUGAGACUGGCCAGUUUCUAUGGUAAUCGUGAUAUCUGAUAGGACAGGAUGGUCAAAUCUGCAUCCUUUUAGCACGCCUAACAUUUUAAUCUCGGAUGUUUCCUACAGCAGAACGUUGUAGAUUUUAUGUUAAAAAGAAAGCUUUGGAAUGUGUGUUCUUUAAUGUGGAUUAAUUUUUAGAGCUAUGUCCAGACAUUUUACAUACGGAUCGAAAUUGAAAAUAACUUGGUGAAUGAAGAGGAGAGUAUUUGCUGCCAUGUUUUAAAAAAUUCCAUUGGAAGGCAAAUGAAGAUAUCCGGCUUUUUCAAAGAUGAUGGGGAUUUAAAAAGAGCUGUUCGGACUUAUCGCUUGUAUGACGAAUCAAUUUCUUUGGAAUUUCACUGAGUACGACCAUGAAGGAAAAAUAAGAACAAGCAGGACAAGAAAGAAGAAAAUGCGUUCAAAAAUACAAUGGAGGACAGUGAUUGGUUAUAAACCUGUUAAUAAAAAGUGUAUAUAAGUUAAAUGAGUGGAAAACUUUUGAAAUUUAUUCUACUAGAUACAAAUUUCAAUCUAAAUCAGGGGCAAAUUAUUUAUUGUUUUAACUGUAUCAAAACACAUUUGUUAUUUUAUACUUUCACUUACUUUUCUUGUAUAGAAACAAUAAAUUUAAUCACUGAUAAUGUAUUUUGUUAUGAUAAAUUGUAAAGAAGUUUAACAAGCCUUGUAAAUUUAUUUUAGCUAACUUGUAUUUAUUAAGUAGGAUUGGUGGUAGAUUUUUUUUUUCUGAUUUUAGAGACGAUCGGAUUUGUUAAUAUACAAGUUUGUAACAAUUAAAUGUUUAUACACAUUGGGCCAAUGUUGGUCCAAUAUAUCGGGCCAACAUUGGGCCAAUGAGCAAAAUGACAUUGGGCCAACGUCAUUUGCCAACAUCGGCCCAAUGUUCUUGAUGACGUUGGGCCAACAUUGGCCCAAUGUCGCAUUCAUUGGGCCAAUGUUGGCGCAAUGUUGGGCCAAUAUCUGCAGAAAUAACACUCUACAUUGGGCCAACGUUGGCCCAACAUAUCGGGCCAACAUUGGGCCGAUGAGCAAACUUACGUUGGGCCAAUGUCAUUUACCAACAUUGGCCCAAUGUAACCGAUGACAU